rfam:Heligmosomoides polygyrus genome assembly, scaffold: HPBE_scaffold0004087
GCGCCGGUGGUGUAAGGCGAACAUCGCAGCUCGGAAAGCAGAAGAUGCGGGUUCGAGUCUCGCCUGGUGCA